rnacentral:rRNA from 1 species
ACGGGAGGCAGCAGUAGGGAAUAUUGGGCAAUGGACGCAAGUCUGACCCAGCCAUGCCGCGUGCAGGAAGAAGGCCUUCUGGGUUGUAAACUGCUUUUAUCUGGGAAGAAAAAGCCCCUGCGGGGGAAACUGACGGUACCAGAGGAAUAAGCACCGGCUAACUCCGUGCCAGCAGCCGCGGUAAUACGGAGGGUGCAAGCGUUGUCCGGAUUUAUUGGGUUUAAAGGGUGCGUAGGCGGCCCGUUAAGUCAGUGGUGAAAGCCUCCAGCUCAACUGGAGAACUGCCAUUGAUACUGACGGGCUUGAGUACAGACGAGGUUGGCGGAAUUGAUUGUGUAGCGGUGAAAUGCAUAGAUACAAUCAAGAACUCCGAUUGCGUAGGCAGCUAACUAGGCUGUAACUGACGCUGAGGCACGAAAGCGUGGGGAGCGAACAGGAUUAGAUACCCUGGUA